CCUGCCCAUCAGAAGGGGAUAACACUUGGAAACAGGUGCUAAUACCGUAUAACAAUCGAAACCGCAUGGUUUUGAUUUGAAAGGCGCUUUCGGGUGUCGCUGAUGGAUGGACCCGCGGUGCAUUAGCUAGUUGGUGAGGUAACGGCUCACCAAGGCCACGAUGCAUAGCCGACCUGAGAGGGUGAUCGGCCACAUUGGGACUGAGACACGGCCCAAACUCCUACGGGAGGCAGCAGUAGGGAAUCUUCGGCAAUGGACGAAAGUCUGACCGAGCAACGCCGCGUGAGUGAAGAAGGUUUUCGGAUCGUAAAACUCUGUUGUUAGAGAAGAACAAGGAUGAGAGUAACUGUUCAUCCCUUGACGGUAUCUAACCAGAAAGCCACGGCUAACUACGUGCCAGCAGCCGCGGUAAUACGUAGGUGGCAAGCGUUGUCCGGAUUUAUUGGGCGUAAAGCGAGCGCAGGCGGUUUCUUAAGUCUGAUGUGAAAGCCCCCGGCUCAACCGGGGAGGGUCAUUGGAAACUGGGAGACUUGAGUGCAGAAGAGGAGAGUGGAAUUCCAUGUGUAGCGGUGAAAUGCGUAGAUAUAUGGAGGAACACCAGUGGCGAAGGCGGCUCUCUGGUCUG
rnacentral:rRNA from 1 species